GGGAUUUCUGCUUUUGCUUCUUCCUCAUUUUUCUCUUGCUGCUGCAAUGUAAGAAGUGCCUUUCACCUCCUGCCAUGAUUCUGAGGCCUCCCCAGCCAUGUGGAACUGAACUCCUGAGAACUGAGAAAUGACUGUUUAAUGAACAAAGAGAGAAGUGACAAUGAGACUGCCCUGUCCAGAGACUCCCAAAUAAAGAAGGAGUCUCUGUAAUGACAUCUCCUGUGACAUUCCUGAUACACCACCUGGAAGGAGAGAAGAUGGUAGUCUGAAAGGGACAGAAUGAGAGAGGGAGCUGGAGAAAGAAAUGAAUAAACACGAAUGCAUCUGGAGAAUGAGGCAUCUUGGAAUCUGGAAAGUGAGGCAUCCUGGAAGAGAGAUGAAGGUUCAAGCUCCAAGAUGUCCAGAACCAAACGCGAAGAAGAAUUAAUGAAAUGGAUAUAUGCAAAACUCGUCAAGAUUCUCAUUUGGCUACAGCAAAUUAUUUGGCGAGUUGAAAGUUUAGUUGUGUUAAUGAUAUGCUACACCUUCUAUACCUGUAAUGUGCCAAAAAUAACUGAACACUUUAGAUUUCUCUUUAAAUCCAGUAAUAAUCCAUUAAAGAGAUAAAGGUGCCAAUGUGCAGGCAAGUAAACCACAUUGCCAAGUAUACAAGCUAAUACAUUUCCCAGGAUGGAUUUAGAGUUUCCUAUUUCAAGCAAAAUUUACAGAAAGUUAAAUGCACAAAUCUUCAGUGCACAAUUACACGAGUUUAGCAACUAUAUACAUCCAUGUAAACAACACUAUCAUGAUGCAGAACAUUUUUAUCACCCAGGAAAUUACUUCAUGUCCCCUUCCAGUCAAUCCACUCUCCACAGGAAACAACUAGAGUUCUGAUUUUUAUCAUUAUGUACUAGAACUUCACAUCUUAGGAAAUCAUAUAGUGCUGUCUCAUUUGUUUCUUGCUAGUUUAGGCAGUAUCAUUUUUUUGAAAUCCAUUCAUAUUGUUCCAUGUUAUCAGUAAUUUGUUACCUUGAUGUAGCUGAGGAGUAUUCCAUUAUAUGAAUAUACCACAACUUAUGUACCCAUUGUACUCUUGACAUUGGCUAUUGUUAGUAAAGCUUUUGGCUAUUUACUAGUAAAGCUGCUAUAAACAUGCUCAAGUCUUGUUGUAGAAACAUUUUCAUUUCUCAUAGGUAAAUAGUCAGGGAUGGAAUUUCUGAGUCACAACAGAGGUAUAUGCUUAACUUUAUGAAAAUCAUCAAGCUGUUUUCCAAACUGGAUGCUCCAUUACCUACUUCUCUGAGUAAGAUCUGGGAGUUCCACUUACUCCACAUCCUCACCAACAUUUGUUGUUGCCACAACGAAGUGGUGCAAUAGUUUAUUUUUAUUUUCGUUUACAUUUCUCUGAUGAUUAAUGAUAUCAAGCACAUUUUCAUGUGCAAUUCACCAUUUUUUUUAAAUGUCCAAAACUUUCAUUCAGUUGUAAAAAAAAACAACAGUAUCUUUUUAUUAAUGGUUUGCUCUUGUUCUGGGUGAAGUUCAUCAUCGAAUAUAUAUUGCUAAUAUUUUUUCCCACAUUACAGCUAAACUUUUAAUUUUCUUUUGAUGGGCAGAGAAUUUUUGUUGUUUUAUUUUUGUGAAAUCCGAUUUAUUGCUUUUUUGCAGCUAGUGUUUUUUCUUUCAUCUCUAUAAAAUCUUGCCUAGCCUAAGAUUGUAAUAUAGUCUUCUGUGUUUUUUUUCUUCAUAAAACCUUUACAGCUUUAGCUUUUAUAAUUGAAUCUAUAAUUUAUCUACAUUAAUUUUGUGAAUAUUGUGAAUUGUGGCUAAGAAGAUUCAUUAUUUCCAUGGUUAUCUAGUUAUUCCAGCACUGUUUGUUCAAAAAGACUUUCCAUUGAAGUGUCUUUGAGCUUUUAUUGAAAUUAACUGACUAUGUGUGUAUUGAUUUCUUUCUGAGCUUUACUUUGUCCCAGGGAUCAGCUUGUAUAACCUUAUGCUAAUGCAAUACUAUCUUGAUUAUUGUGGCUUGCUGCAGGUCUUGAUAUAAAGUAAUAAUAUAAUUUAUCUGAAUUUGUUCUUUUUCAAGAUAGCUUUGGAAGUUCUUUAUUUCUUGUAUUUUCAUAUAAAUUUUAGAAUAAACUUGUGUAUUUCCACCAAAAAAAUGCAAAUUUCAUUUAGUUUGUAAUUAGGUCUAAUCAAACCAUAUUAAAUCUUCCAGUUCAUUAACAUGUUCUCUAUCUUCAUAAACUUGGGUCUUCUUUAAAUCUCUGAGGAAUAUGUUAGAAUGUUUAGUAGAGUUUCUGUAUCUUUUUGGGUAGUGCAGAGGGGGGCAUAAAGAAAGAAUGGUUAAUGGGUACAAAAAUACAGUUAAAAAGAAUAAGAUCUAGCAUUCAGUAGUACAAUAGCACAACUACAGUUAAUAAUUUAUGGUAUAUUUCAAAAUAACUAAAAGGGUGGAAUUGAAAUGUUCCUAACACAAAGAAAUGAUAAAUAUUUGAGGUGAUAGCUACCCUAAUUUGAUCAUUACAUGUUGUAUGCUUGUAUCAAAAUAUCACAUAUGCCCAUAAAUGUGUAUAACUCUUACGUAUCCAUAAUUAAAAUUUGUUAAAUAUAUAUGGUCUGUUUAUGCUAUUAUAAAUGGUAUAUUUACAUUUUCCAAAUGUUUGC
rnacentral:lncRNA from 10 species